rnacentral:lncRNA from 1 species
UCCCGGCCUGCCUGGACUCCAGCCGGGACCUCCCACAUGAGGCUCAUUCAUCUAUGCCCAGGAUUCUCAAAGAACCCCGGCCCCAGCCUGCUCUCUGUCAUGUGCUGAGCCCCAAGCUUACCCAUGCCUCCUGCCGUGGGGACCAGAGAAUGAGAAGACCACCAGGGAGACCCGCCCUGGAGACCAUGGUGUGCUGCUGACUCACGCUGGAUGUGCAGUCUUGAAGGAAUCCUACGCUUCAUGAAUGAGGAUUUGACAUCUGGCAGAGGUCUUUAUGAACACAUUUAUGAUCAUCCUUCAAAGCAACCACAUGAAAUGGGCCAGGGGCUUGUUCUCUUUUAGCAGACAGACGGGUUGAGUCACCACAAGAUGCUGUUAUGGUUUAA